CCGGGGGGUAGUGACGUCACCGCGCGGAUUUGCCGGCCAAGAUGUCUGAUAUCCUGUCCGAACCGAUGCGGAAGAGCUUUCGGAGAAGCCCUUAUCACUACCACUCCGUCAGACAGUCGAGAUUCUCCAUCAACGAUGAGGCGUCCGGCCUGGAUGAGAUGCCCCUGAUGAUGUCCGACGAGGCCUUUGAGAACGACGAAAGCGACUACGAAACGCUGACACGGGCCCGAGUCAGUCACAGACGGCGAGGCCUCAGGUGGUUCCUCUUCGGCGGGUGGAGAGUCCUCUGCGAAAGCUGCUGCGAUUGCCUUGUCCGAAUGUGUCGGCGGAAGAAGGAGCUGAAGGCUCGCACCGUCUGGCUCGGCCACCCGGAGAAAUGCGAGGAGAAGUUCCCUAAAAACUCCAUCCGCAACCAGAAGUACAACUUCUUCACCUUUGUGCCUGGGGUUCUCUACCAGCAGUUCAAGUUCUUCCUCAAUCUCUACUUCCUGGUGGUGGCCUGCUCGCAGUUUGUGCCCUCGCUGCAGAUCGGAUACUUGUACACGUACUGGGCGCCCUUGGGCUUCGUGCUGGCGGUCACCAUGGCGCGCGAGGCGGUGGACGAGGUGCGGCGCCACCAGCGGGACAAGGAGAUGAACUCGCAGCUGUACAGCAAGCUGACGCCGUGCGGUAAAGUCCAGGUGAAGAGCUCAGACAUCCAAGUGGGCGACUUGAUUAUCGCCGAGAAGAACCAAAGGAUUCCCGCAGACAUGAUCUUUCUGAGGACGUCUGAGAAGAACGGGACGUGCUUCAUCAGGACCGACCAGCUGGACGGCGAGACAGACUGGAAGCUGAAAGUGGCUGUGGGAUGCACACAACGCCUUCCGGCAGUGGGGGACCUGUUCUCCAUCAAUGCCUUUGUCUACGCCCAGAAGCCUGAGCUGGACAUCCACAGUUUUGAGGGAAACUUCACACGGGAGGACGCUGACCCCCAGGUCCACGAGAGCCUGAGCAUCGAAAACACACUGUGGGCCAGCACGGUCGUCGCCUCGGGCACUGUGAUCGGGGUGGUUAUCUACACCGGCAAGGAGACCCGCAGUGUACUCAAUACGUCCGAAGCCAAAAACAAGGUGGGCCUACUGGACUUGGAAUUGAACCGACUCACCAAGGCCCUGUUCUUCGCCCAACUAGUUCUGUCCAUUGUCAUGGAAGCCCUGCUCGGCUUUGUGGGCCCGUGGUUCCGCAACCUGUUCCGCUUUGUUGUGCUCUUCUCUUAUAUCAUCCCCAUAAGCCUACGAGUGAAUCUGGACAUGGGCAAGGCAGCCUACGGCUGGAUGAUCAUGAAGGAUGAGAAUAUUCCCGGCACGGUGGUGAGGACCAGCACCAUCCCGGAAGAACUGGGCCGGCUGGUCUACCUGCUGACGGAUAAAACAGGCACUUUGACACAAAACGAGAUGAUCUUCAAGCGGCUGCACCUGGGAACCGUGUCCUACGGUACCGACACCAUGGACGAAAUCCAGAGCCAUGUCAUCCAGUCCUACGCUCAGGGCCCCUCCAGUGGUGGCACCGGCGGCUCCGCCACAGCGUCCCAGAAAUCCCAGACCCCGGGCCCCAAAGUCCGCAAGAGCGUCAGCAGCCGCAUCCACGAGGCGGUGAAGGCCAUUGCUCUGUGCCACAACGUCACGCCCGUCUACGAGGCGUGUGGCGAGACCGAGACGGCGGAGGCCGAGCAGGACUUCAGCGACGACAACCGCACGUACCAGGCCUCCAGUCCCGAUGAGGUGGCGCUGGUGCAGUGGACUCAGAGUGUGGGCCUGACCCUGGUGAACCGAGACCUGGCCUCCCUGCAGCUCAAGACGCCUGCCGGGCAGAUCCUGUCCUUCAGCAUCCUGCAGAUCUUCCCCUUCACCUCCGAGAGCAAGCGCAUGGGUAUCAUUGUCAGGGAGGAGUCGACAGGUGACAUCACAUUCUACAUGAAGGGUGCCGACGUGGCCAUGGCGAGCAUCGUCCAGUACAACGACUGGCUGGAGGAGGAGUGUGGCAACAUGGCCCGAGAAGGUCUGAGAACGUUGGUGGUGGCCAAGAAGUCGCUGUCUGAGGAGCAGUACCAGGACUUUGAGAGCCGCUACAACCAGGCCAAGCUGAGCAUCCACGACCGGACCCUUAAAGUAGCAGCGGUGGUGGAGAGCCUGGAGCGGGAGAUGGAGCUCCUCUGUCUGACCGGCGUGGAGGACCAGCUGCAGGCUGAUGUUAGGCCCACGCUGGAGCUUCUUAGGAACGCCGGCAUCAAGAUCUGGAUGUUGACCGGGGACAAGCUGGAAACUGCCACGUGCAUCGCCAAAAGCUCUCAUUUGGUCUCUAGAAACCAGGACAUCCAUCUUUUCCGACCGGUGACAAACCGAGGGGAGGCCCACCUUGAACUCAACGCCUUCCGCAGGAAGUACGACUGCGCGCUGGUCAUCUCGGGCGACUCCCUGGAGGUGUGCCUGCGUUACUACGAGCACGAGUUUGUGGAGCUGGCGUGCCAGUGUCCCGCCGUGGUGUGCUGUCGCUGCUCGCCCACGCAGAAGGCCCAGAUCGUCACGCUGCUCCAGCAGCACACCGCCAAUAGAACCUGUGCCAUUGGUGAUGGCGGAAAUGACGUAAGCAUGAUCCAGGCUGCCAACUGCGGGAUUGGAAUCGAAGGAAAGGAAGGCAAGCAGGCGUCGCUGGCGGCCGACUUCUCUAUCACGCAGUUCAAACACAUCGGCCGCCUCCUCAUGGUGCACGGCAGGAAUAGCUACAAGCGCUCAGCAGCCCUGGGGCAGUUUGUCAUGCACCGGGGAAUGAUCAUCUCUGCCAUGCAGGCUGUCUUCUCUUCCAUAUUCUAUUUUGCUUCUGUUCCCUUGUAUCAAGGAUUCCUCAUGGUUGGUUACGCCACCAUCUACACCAUGUUCCCGGUGUUCUCGCUGGUCCUGGAUCAGGACGUGAAACCAGAGAUGGCGCUGCUCUACCCGGAGCUCUACAAGGACUUGACCAAGGGCCGCUCGCUUUCCUUCAAGACCUUCCUGAUCUGGGUUUUGGUUAGCGUUUAUCAAGGGGGCAUCCUGAUGUACGGGGCCUUGGUGCUGUUCGAGUCGGAGUUUGUGCACGUGGUGGCCAUCUCGUUCACGGCGCUCAUCUUGACCGAGCUGCUCAUGGUGGCGCUGACGGUGCGCAUGUGGCACUGGCUCAUGGUGGUGGCAGAGUUCCUCAGCCUGGGCUGUUACUUGGCCUCGCUCGCCUUCCUCAACGAGUACUUUGAUUUGAGGUAUAUCACCACGUGGCCUUUUAUUUGGAAGGUGUCGUCCAUCACACUGGUCAGCUGCCUGCCGCUUUACAUCAUUAAGUACCUCAAGCGGAAAUUCUCACCAUCCAGCUACUCCAAACUGGCCUCCUGAGACAUACACGGAAGCCAUCUUGUCAUCAACUUUCGCACACAUUUUUUUUCUUUUCUUUUCACCGCUGCAACUCCUCACUGCUGGAUGUGGAGGCUCCUCCCUGCCUUGGGCCGUUACCAGGCAGCGGCCUUCACAACAGGAAACUUGGGAUUCCGUCAUAGUGGCCAGAGAAAAAAGGAGAACAUUGAUGGGAGACAGGAAGUCUGAGCGCAGGAAAAAGAGCUGAGAAGUGAAGGGAGGUACGUUUAGCCAGCGAGCUAAGUAAAAACGCAGUGGCUAAAACAUGGCCUCCACCAAGGCCCAACGGCACAUGCCUCAAUUUGGUCUUUCAUCCUUUUUAUGGAGAGAAAUGAAGCAAACCGGUCAAAAAUUUAUGUCACACAUGCAUUCUUUUUUUUUCUCCAUAAUCUACUACCCUCACAUCUUGCCCAAAAUAGCCAUGAUCAGACGUUGCCAGUCAUAAAUUGAAGAAAAAUAAAAUAAUUUAUAAUCUGCUCUGAAUUAAAAAAAAUAGAACUUUAUAAUACUGUGCCUGCAUUAAAAAAAAUAUA